AGGGAAUCUUCCGCAAUGGACGAAAGUCUGACGGAGCAACGCCGCGUGAGUGAUGAAGGUUUUCGGAUCGUAAAGCUCUGUUGCCAGGGAAGAACGUCUUCUGGAGUAACUGCCAGGAGAGUGACGGUACCUGAGAAGAAAGCCCCGGCUAACUACGUGCCAGCAGCCGCGGUAAUACGUAGGGGGCAAGCGUUGUCCGGAAUUAUUGGGCGUAAAGCGCGCGCAGGCGGCUGUUUAAGUCUGGUGGAGAAUCCUGGGGCUCAACCCCGGGUCGCACUGGAAACUGGACAGCUUGAGUGCAGAAGAGGAGAGUGGAAUUCCACGUGUAGCGGUGAAAUGCGUAGAGAUGUGGAGGAACACCAGUGGCGAAGGCGGCUUUCUGGUCUGUAACUGACGCUGAGGCGCGAAAGCGUGGGGAGCAAAC
rnacentral:rRNA from 1 species